rnacentral:rRNA from 1 species
GCCUGCGGCCACACCACCUUGAAAAGCCUGAUCUCGUCUGAUCUCAGAAACUAAGCAAUGUUGGGCUUGGUUAGUACUUGGAUGGGAGACCACCUGGGAAUAUCAAGUGCUGUAGGCAUU